rnacentral:tRNA from 1 species
GUGCCUAUGGUGUAACGGUUAACACGGGGGUUUGUGGAACCCCAAAUUCGAGUUCAACUCUCGAUAGGCACC